UUUCGUAAUACUCUCUUUUUCUGGUCACUUGACUCCCCAUUUCCUGACGCCCCUAUUGACAUUGUUGCGUUUGUUUGUUUGUUUAAGUGGGCGCGUUUCUUGUUGUUGACUUUGUUGCGAAGGAGGGGCGGCUAAAGAGGGCGUGGCGGGGCGCCAGUGCCAAACGGGGAGGGGCGUCUCAAGUCUGGGUGCUUAUCAGAAGCGAUUACACGCAGCCACGCAUUGAUUGAAUGGCCUUUUCAGUUCCCCGGAAUGUAUUCUUUUACAGCACUCGGUAUUCUCAUCAUAAAUUUAAUUUAAAAUGGAAAUUUCUCUGUAACUUGUAUUUUUAACAUGCAGCAUUGUUGCAAGAAGCAGGGGCGGUAGUUGACCUUUUUUUGGGGGCAUUAUAGUUUAAAAAGUUUUAUAGAAACUACGGAAACUUUUCAAGGAAAUACAAUUCAUAACUCAUCCCUCUUAUUAUAUAAAAAUUUCCAUCAACUUUAUUUGUAAACAAAUUUAUUUAGACCCAAGAAAAAUAAAGUGAUUUUUGGGGAAAAGCUUAAGAAACAUUUUCCACAAUUAUCACUCUACAGAUUCCCUCCCAAAGUGAUCCAUGGACAUGACCAGCCGGCGUGGACAAUGAUUUGGGUAUUUAGCACAUUUUUUCUUCAACCGAUUGUGUUGAUGGCUAAUCGAAGCACGAGCGCGAAAUAAAAAAAAUGUAUUUCGCUUGUCCACAUUUUGUAUUUAUUUUUAGAAAUCGCGACGCGUUUUUUUUUUUCAAAUAAUCAAAAGCUAGGCGCCCCGGUAUCCGUAUAGUAUUAGAAUCGGACUCUGAAUCGUAGCUCUAAGAAGCGGCUUCGCAGCACCUCAGGAUCCAAAAGAAAUAAUUAACAUAUUUUUGCAAAUUAUUGAUCGUGUGGCUGAGGUCAUAAAUCGGCAAUCGGAGAUGAGAUGAGAUGAGGUGAUCGCAUCCCCAAAAUCGAAAACCAAAAUUCGAAACGGGGCAUGUGAGUUAUACUUUAUUUGUAUUCAAUUUUUGUUGCUUUAAAUUAUUUUGUAUUUUUUUUUGUUAUUUUAACUUGUCGCUUGGAGGCUUUUGCACUUUAGCAAGGACAACGACGGAAGUGAACAUCAAAACACGAGUUGCCUGCAAAAAAAAAAAAAAAAUACAAAAAUUGCAUUUAAGGUCAACGAGCAAUAUUCAUGAAACGUUGAACCAAGUCAAGUCACAAAAAGUAUAUGCAUUCAAAAUACAAAAUAAAAUGAAAGCCCUCGAAUGCAAUGGCUGGAUGAGUAAAAAAAUAAUAAUAUAUAAAGCAGGCCGGUCAGAUCUUCCACAAUAAUAACAAAAAAAAAAUCAAGUAAAUAAAGUCAUUUAGUUAUGGUAGUCAGUGAAAGGACUAACCAGUACCCGUUGAAGAGGGAUAUUUAAUAUUUAUAGGAAAAUAAAAUAGAAUAAAAAUCCUAAAACUUCUAUAGACUACUUAGGUUUAGUUUUCUAAAAAUUAAGAAACUGUUUAAGAGCUUAUUUUAAUAUAAGAAUAAUAAUCUUAAAAAAUAUAAAGAAAGUAAAGUUUAAGGGCUAUAAGUAGUAGUAUAUAGGAGUCUCCUUAAGAGAUAUUUUUUACUACCCAAACAUGAUAUAUUAUAUCCUCGUUUAGGCCAAAAAUUGGUAGGCUUAUUGGAAUACUUAAUACCCUUUAUAGACUAACUACUGGGAAAUAGAAUAACAAUAAGAAAUCUGCAAUGCUUUCGCCGCCUGAUCAUCAACUACUGAAGCAUGUCUGAGGCGGGUUUGAACUUUGGAACGAUGUCACUUGAAUCACUCUAGCUAUCUUACCUCUCUUUCUCUCCCUAGAUUUGCCGCUCUUUCUGACACCCUAUCUUUAGGGUCCACCUAAAGGUGCGAUUGGUGCAAAAAUUAAAAAUCAAAAAGCAAAAAAAACAUGCGUGGGGCGAAUGAUCGAUGUGCAGAAGGUGAAGGUGACUCGGCGGAAGGUGACCCUGAAUGAGUGAAGGAGGCAGAGCAAAGUUCGCCAGUCCGACUUCGUAAAUCCGUCUUACGAGUUCCACUUGGAGGUUGAAGUGUCGAAUAACCGAAAUACCCAUACCCAUACCAUGGUAUCUAUCAGCCCAGUAAUCGCUGAAGUGCACAACACAUUCCAUCAUUCCAUCAUCGUCCAGUGUGCUCCGAUUUCUAUAAAUAAUUCCAGCAGAUAAGCCAGAUCCUAAAAAUGGACCAAUGUGCCACAAAAAAAAAUAUUAUUAUGUUAAGAGGUGAGAGGUCAGAGAGGCUGGGAAUGUCCAUUACUCGAAGAAUCAGGUCAAUCAGUGGCGAAUGAUUUAAAAUAAUAGAUCUCAUUUAUGAAUGAAUCUUUAGCAUUUAAUUGGUAUUUGUAGAUCACUAAAUAAGAUUAAUUAUUGUCAUUAAUUAGUCGUGAUUUCCUGUUUUACGGCCUGACUUUUAUUGGAGGUGAUAUAUGGACUUAUUUGUGAGGUUCUUGGAUGCGGUUCUAAAUCGAAAUGAACUGAAAACAAAACUUGUUAUUGUCUUUAAAAUGUUUUUAAUAAAUUAUAUUGUUAUUUUGAUGUGAUAAGGUGUGUUUUUAAAGGUUUUAUUAUAGAAGAGGUUUUUAAAUCUCAUUAAAAUAUAUGAUAUAGAAAUCUUAAACAAUCUUAAUUUUAUAGCUGUUAUGUAAGUUUUUUUUUCUUUGAAUAAAAUUCCCAUCAUCUUUUCUAAUAAGUUAUUUUAAGACCCAGUUCCCUCAUUUUAAUUCCCUUUAAACACAAUUCACUUGCAAUUUGUGUUUAUUUCUGUUCACAUUCAUCAAUUAUUAGGUGCUGGGGGUGUCUAGAUAUAGAUAUAUGUAUAUUUAAAACCCGUCCAUGGUCACUUGAGUUUCGACAUUACGUAUACGCAGCAUGGGACGAACCUACCGCAAUGGCGGCCUCCCAAUUAGCAGGGACUAUUUAGUGAGAGCGAGAGAGAGAGAGAGUGAGGGUACAAAGUACAAAAUUGCAUUUGUAGAAACUAAAAAUAUCCAUGGUUAGUCGUGAAAUUAGUGAAAAAGGGGGUGGGAUGGUGGCCAAAAUUGGACUUUGAUCGAAUGCAUUGAGUUUUGUGGGCGGUGGCAGCUGCGUCGACGGCUCUGCUUUAUAACGGCACAAGAAAUUUGUGGGCAAAUGCAAAGGAAGAAAAGGAAGAAAGAAAAAAAAUGAAAACAAAGAAGCUUUUUAUAAAAAUAAGUGAAUAAUUUCAUCUCCUCUUGGGAAACAGUUUGUUUGGUUUUUUUUUGUUUUUUUUUGGCUCGCUUAUGCGACAGACUUGGCAAAUUUCAUCAGCUGUUUUAAUUUAUGCAAGGAGCCCAGCCGAGCUGAUCUUGGGAGUGGAUCAACAUCAGAAAAGCAGUGAGAAGAGAAAAGAGAGUCAAUUGAACUCACGGGCAUGGCCUUGCCGCCAGAAGUUGCUUGACCUGGAAGCGGUUUACCUUGUCGCCGCCUCCUCCAUUGGGGUGUAAUGCACUAUGCUGAGUUACAGAAGACUCGGCUACUACACACAUCAGGUUUCUUGGGCGAUUGCCGAAUUGCAUUGAGAAACCGAGAACAGAGCAAAAAAGCGAUCAGGGAUUGCCUAAAAAGUCACCGAAAAAGUUAAAUGAACGUUGCGAAGGUCAACGGUGCGUAUACUUCAUUAGCGAUUAACGAAAAAAAAGGGGGGAGGUGUCGCCUCAUAUAGGAGGAGUGGGGGGCUGAAAAGGAGCAACCGCAAAUGACCGCUGAAGGAUGAAGGGCAGCCGGGCAAGGGGUAUACUGUGGAGGUCGCGUGGCUAAUCGACUCGGCCAUAUGUUAGCGUGGAUUACAGCCCCGCUAACUGGUUUCUGAUAUUUAUUGCCCUGCAGCUUCCCAAUUUGCAUGACGUCCUUAGAGCAACCAUCCCCCCACCCCCCUCCAGCCCUCCCGCAGCACGCGUUUCCAGCAUCCUAACGGAAGCUUUUCAUUUCCGGUGCUGUCGGAAUUUUUAAAAUCUAUGAGUGUCCAAUGCAAAGCAGCUGCCAACAAGAAAAAAAACAAGGACUAGCCAUUAAAAACAGGCAAUAGGUGCAAAUUAAAAGACAAAAAGGUAAACGGAAUUGGAAAAAAAAGGUUAAGAAGAAUAAAACAUGGCGGGAACAAAUGUACCGGAAGUGCAGCUAAAUAAAAUGGCUGCAAAAGAGCAGCGAGGACAGGAAAUGAAAUUCUGUGGACACAAGCGCAAUUAUUUAUUUAAAUAAAUAAUGGGAUUAAAAAGAAAUAAUAGGUUGAAAAGAGAAUUUUGAUGGUUUUCAAGCAAAAUAUUUGAAUCAGGCGGGUGGUAUGGCGCCCUCUGCAACGAAGCUAAAAAGUAUGCUAUGAUUUUCGUAAGAGCGCCAUCAUGUGGUGGGUGGCGGAAACUCUCUUACGGUAUUUGUGCUCAAAAUGGCGUUGCAGCCAUUCGACUAACGCCUUCUCCCAUAUUGCUGCUACAAUAAAAGCUAAAAAAGUGAAGAAAACAAUAAAUAAUUAAGCAAAUAAGCUUAAAUAGCUAAUUAAAUAACAAAUCAAGUGUAGAAAUGCGAAAGACAAUGUGUCUUACUGGAUUAUUCUAUGAAUUUGAGAGGUUUUGUCUGCUUUAGAUCAUCCAAAAAAUGGUUCGUAUUUUAAUGAAUGAAACUAGUUUGUGGUUUAUAUUAGUAAUUAAUUAAAUAAAAGAUAAUGAAAGUGUUUAAUAUAAGAACUAAAACUUAUGAAAAAAAGGGAAAAAUAAUUGCCUGCCAAGUCUGUGAAGGAGACAGGGCGAAGGAGAUACUAAGGGGAAGUGUGAAAACGUGCGUAAAUGUUUCGGCGUUUUUGUUUUGAUUCUUAUCAGAGUGCAAAGCGUGUGGGGUGAUGAAGAGCCAAUCAAAACAAAAUAAAAAAGCGGGAGCUGCGGGCUCUCACUCUCUUUUGACUCGCUCUCUUGUUCUCUUUAAGGCUCCCCUUUUUAGAAAAGCUCUUAUGUGGAGCUCAUUCUCUCUUUGUCUCUCUCAGCAAUGGGCUUAAAAGCUAGUGCUGUCGAAAAUAUAAA